rnacentral:rRNA from 1 species
UGAGGAAUAUUGCGCAAUGGGGGAAACCCUGACGCAGCAACGCCGCGUGGGUGAAGAAGGCCUUCGGGUUGUAAAGCCCUGUCAGGUGGGAAGAAACCUCUGUAGGCGAAUAGUCUACGGAACUGACGGUACCACCAAAGGAAGCACCGGCUAACUCCGUGCCAGCAGCCGCGGUAAGACGGAGGGUGCAAGCGUUGUUCGGAAUUACUGGGCGUAAAGCGCGUGUAGGCGGUCUGAUAAGUCGAGUGUGAAAGCCCGAGGCUCAACUUCGGAAGUGCACUCGAAACUGCCAGGCUUGAGUACGGGAGAGGGAAGUGGAAUUCCUGGUGUAGAGGUGAAAUUCGUAGAUAUCAGGAGGAACACCGGUGGCGAAGGCGGCUUCCUGGACCGAUACUGACGCUGAGACGCGAAAGCGUGGGGAGCAAACA